rnacentral:misc_RNA from 1 species
GUGAGUUUAAAAAGGAGCUGAAGAAACAAUUCUAUCCAGAGCAUGCGGCUGAUGAAGCAAGAGCAAAGUUAAGGAGGCUUACCCAGCGUGGUACCAUACGUGAAUAUGUGAAAGAAUUUUCGGAGGUUUUGUUGGAAGUCCCGGAGUACCCCGACCAGGAGCUGCUCUUUUUCUUCAAGGAUGGACUCCAAGCUUGGGCAAGAUUGGAGAUAGAACGACGUGGUGCUCAAGAUCUUGCCGCUGCCAUUACAAUAGCCGAAUCCCUUGUGGAGUACAAGAAAGGUGACAAGCCUAAAGCUAAGGAUGGCAAGAGCAAACAUGGUGGAGAUAAAAGUGGCGGUAAGGACAGCCAUAGAGAAGGCCCGAAAGAAGGAAAUGCAAAGAAACCGUGGGUUGGGAAGAAAGACUACCGGGAUGGAAAAUUCAAGAAAAAUGACAAGUUCCACAAACCAAUCGAGAGGGGCCCCUUGAAAUGCUUCUUGUGCGACGGGCCACACAGAGCGAGAGAAUGCCCCAAGAACGCUGCACUGGAUGCACUGGUUGCGGAUAAGGAAGAUGUUCAGCCACGACAAGAGGGAUCCAGCAUGGGUUCCAUGCAAUUGGCAGCCGUGAACAAAGGCAAACAAGUGGAGGUUCAAGUGGCCAACAAGGGCAGGCUGUUUGCGCAACUCAAGUUUGGGCAGAAUGAGAUUCAAGCACUAGUUGACACUGGAGCUUCGGACAAUUUCUUGAGGCUUGAAGAAGCACAAAAAUUUGGCAUAGCAUUCCACAAGCAAGCUGGUUGGUUGAAAGCCGUAAAUUCGAAGCCUACUCCUACACAUGGCGUUGCAAGCAAGGUUGCCGUGAAACUAGGUGAGUGGACUGGUUUCCUUGAUUUUUCUAUUGUGUCUAUGGAUGAUUAUGCAUGUGUAUUGGGUAUGGAUUUCAUGGAUAAGGUGAGGGCAAUCCCUAUUCCAUUUGCCAAUAGUUUGUGUAUUGGGGAGAAUGGGGGUGCAUGCAUGGUUCCUUUGAAGAGAGGGAAAAAUGGAGGUAGCACACUUUCGGCCUUACAAUUGGCUAAGGGUGUGAAGAAGAGGGAGCCUACUUUUCUAGUGGCUUUGCAAGCCGAGGAAGAUGUACAUGCUGUGGAGAUACCCCAUGAAGUGCAAAAUGUGUUACAUGAGUUUAAUGAUGUUAUGCCAAAAGAAUUGCCUAAACAGUUGCCGCCCAAGAGGGAAGUGGACCAUGCCAUUGAGUUGUUGCCCGGCGCCAAACCACCUAGUGGUGUACCCUACCGAAUGGCUCCUCCUGAGCUUGAGGAAUUAAAGAGGCAGUUGAGAGAGUUGCUAGAUGCUGGCUUUAUUCAACCAUCCAAGGCUCCAUUUGGUGCACCAGUUUUAUUCCAGAAGAAGAAGGAUGGAAGCUUGCGGAUGUGUAUCGACUACCGAGCACUGAACAAGAUCACAGUAAAGAACAAGUACCCCAUCCCGCUCAUUGGUGAUUUGUUUGACAGAUUGGGGGAAGCUAGAUGGUUCUCAAAACUGGACUUGAGGUCUGGUUAUUAUCAGGUGCGCAUAGCUGAAGGGGAUGAGCCCAAGACUGCUUGUGUGACGCGGUAUGGGUCCUUCGAGUUCAGAGUUAUGCCGUUUGGCCUCACCAAUGCCCCUGCCACCUUUUGCACAUUGAUGAACAAGGUAUUUCACCCUUUCCUUGAUGACUUUGUUGUUGUUUAUUUGGAUGAUAUAGUGGUGUACAGCCGGACAUUGCAAGAGCACAUCGAGCAUCUUCGGUUGGUCUUCAAGAAAUUGAGGGAGCAUCACUUAUUUGUGAAGAGGGAAAAGUGUGAAUUUGCGCAAGAGGAGGUAUCCUUUUUGGGACAUGUUGUUGGGCAUGGACAGAUCAGAAUGGACAAGGCCAAGAUUCAAGCAAUUGAGGAUUGGGAACCACCAAGAAAGGUGCCGGAGUUGAGAUCAUUCCUGGGCUUGGCUAACUACUACAGGAGGUUCAUUAAGGGGUAUUCUCAUAUUGCUGCCCCGUUGACAGAUUUGUUAAAGAAAGACAAGCCGUGGGAUUGGAAUGAGAAGUGCCAGCAGUCCUUCGAGAAGCUGAAGCUAGCACUCAAGGAAGAGCCAGUGUUGAAACUGCCUGAUUAUUCCUCACCAUUUGAGGUUCAUACGGAUGCUUCUGAUUUUGCUAUUGGUGGUGUGAUCAUGCAAGGAAGACAUCCUAUUGCCUAUGAGAGCCGGAAAUUGAAUGAGACCGAGAGGAGAUACACGGUCCAGGAGAAGGAGAUGACAGCCGUAGUCCAUUGCCUAAGGACUUGGCGGCAUUAUCUGUUGGGAAGCAAGUUCGUUGUGAAGACGGACAAUGUGGCUACUAGUUACUUCCUCACACAGAAGAAGCUCUCACCAAAGCAAGCAAGAUGGCAAGCAUUCCUUGGAGAGUUCGACUUUGUCAUGGAGUACAAACCCGGGAAGGCCAAUCUUGUAGCAGAUGCCCUAAGCCGCAAGGUGGAGUUAGCAGCAACUACCACUCAACCCAGUCCUAGUUUGUUGGGGCGCAUAGAGGAGGGCCUCCAACAUGACCCGCAGGCCAAGCUGUUGAUAGAGCUGAUUGGACAGGGCAAGACUAGGAGGUUUUGGAGGGAUGACCAGGGGUUGGUGCGGACCAGGAGAGGGGCAGUAUUUGUGCCGAGGUGGGGCGGCUUGAGGAAGGAGGUGAUGAGAGAGUGCCAUGACACUAGAUGGGCUGGACAUCCAGGUGCGCAGCGCACCCAAGCCUUGGUGGAACGAGGUUAUUAUUGGCCCAGGAUGCAGGAUGACAUCCAGUUGUUUGUGAAGACCUGUUUGGUGUGCCAGCAGGAUAAGGGAGAGCAGAGGAGACCUGCAGGGCUUUUAGAACCUCUUCCUACACCUAGCCGACCAUGGGAGAGCAUAUCCAUGGACUUCAUUGUCGGAUUGCCGAGAGUGAGUGGACUUGGCAACAUCAUGGUGGUAGUUGAUCGGCUCAGCAAGUAUGCAGUGUUUAUUCCUGCUCCGGCUCAGUUUGAUGCAAAGGAAGCUGCUAAGCUAUUUUUCAGAGGUGUUGUGAAAUACUGGGGACUGCCAAGGAACAUUGUGAGUGACAGGGAUGCACGGUUCACAGGCAGAUUCUGGACAGAGUUGUUCAGGUUGAUGGGGACAGAGUUGAAUUUCUCCACCAGUUUUCACCCUCAGACGGAUGGGCAGACGGAGAGGAUUAAUGCAUUACUUGAGCUUUAUUUACGGCACUUUGUAAGUGCUAAUCAGCGGGACUGGCCCGAGUUGCUUGAUGUGGCCCAGUUCUCCUACAAUUUGCAGAAAAGUGAGGCAACGGGAGCAAGCCCUUUUGAGGUUGCCACGGGACAGCAGCCCCUCACACCCCACACGGUAAUGAUUCCAUAUAAAGGUCCUAACCCUACUGCUUUCAGGUUUGCCAAAGACUGGAAGGAGAAGGUGGAGCUUGCUAAAACAUCCUUGGCCAAAGCUACAAAGAAGAUGAAGAAAUGGGCCGACACCAAGAGGAGACAUCUAGAGUUCGAGGAGGGCGACUUGGUGUUAGUGAGGAUGUUCCACCGCACACAUGGCAAACGACAUAGGGGCCUCUUGAGGAAAUAUGAGGGACCUUUUCCAGUGGAGCAACGGGUUGGAAAUGUAGCAUACCGUGUGAAGCUGCCCGCACAUUUGGAGUGCCAUCCGGUGUUCCAUGUUAGUCUCCUAAAGCCAUACCAUGCAGAUGGUGAAGACCCAGCCAGGAACAAGUCCAAGAGAGCACCAGUAGCAGUCACAAGCACACUAGAGUUUGAGCCUGAGGAGAUCUUGGCACAUAGAGCAGUCCCACCAUGGGGAGCUCAUCCUGGUUACACAGAGUACUUGGUGAAAUGGAAAGGGCGUGGAGCUGAGGAGACUAGUUGGGAACACGAGCUGAAAUUGUGGCAGCAUGAGGAGAUUGUGAGGAGAUACCAGCUUGAGGCAACGGGGGCGUUGCCGGAUUGAGUGGGGGAGAAUGUCACCCCUAAAAUUUUGCUCCCGAAAGUCCACUAAUUUUUCUGCUUGCAGGUUGUCCAAGUGAAACCCAAUUUGAGUGCUUGUGGUAUGUUGGCCGAAUGCAUGGGAGAUAGGGACGUGGGAUUAUUGCAUGGAAAUGGCCAUGGGCCAAUAUGGGCGCACUAUGAAGACCCACGUCACUAAGUGGGACACAUGGGGAACUUUGGGACGUGAAAUGGUUGCAUGAGCAUUAGAAAUGCACAAGUGGCGCACACCAUGUGACCAAGCACCUUAGUGGAGAAGUGGUGACGGCAAGUUGGGAAAUGCAUCACUAAGUGGCCAAAGGUGGCGCCAUGCAUGUGACGUGCUAGGUGGCCUUUACAUGGUGCGGCACAUGGAGCCAUGUAAUCGGAUGGGCAUUAUAUUGAGAUAGUGGGGCGCCUCAUGGUGCUACAUAAGCCAUCCAAUAGGAAAUCACGUGGUGCAGCGCAUGGAACAAAUUCCAUUACGUGCAUGGGCCAUGCAAAGCGUGAAUUUGAAGUGGCCAAGGGCUGGUGGAGCGCAUGUGACCAUUCAAGGUGGGCAGCACGUGAAGCCUAGCAUGCAUCAGCCCAUACAACGUGAAGGAUUGAAGAAAAUAGCCCAUAUGGACAUAUGGCCCAACCGGUGGACAAACACUUGGCGCCAUCAAUUUCCCUCCACCAAUUCAAAAGCUACGGAUGGUUAGUAAGGUGCCCAUACCGCCCGCUCCUCUCACCACCUGCUCCCACUUACCUUAAUAUUUUAAUUGAUUGUAAUUUAAAUUACUUUAAAUCUGGCCACAUGUUGGGGGCUCACAAGGACAGCCGGCUGUGUAUAUAAUAGGGACUUCGGUCCCAUUUCUUGUAACAGAUACAUGAGAGCAAAUACUUGAGAGAAUUGUGAGAGAAUUACUUUGUCAAGUGUAUAGCCGAUUCAAGCAGAAUUAAUAGAAGUCCUUUGCAUCACUCUUCCUUCUUCCUUUCUUUAUUUUUACGUGUGCAUGGUGUUGUUGUCUUGCGCAUUGUGUUGGGUUGCUUUGUGUUACUUUGGUUGCUUGUUUUUGGGUUCGGCUAUUUUAUUUUUCCUUGUUGUGGAAAUAUUGCCGAGAGGUCUUGGGACAGAUUUGGAGGCUGACUUGCGUUGAGGAAGCAAGUGCCGCACGGUUGGGAUAAUUUUGGGAUAGCAAAUAUUUCCCCCGUGACAGUUGGUAUCA